rnacentral:lncRNA from 1 species
AUGCCUAACUCUGCAUGGGGAAUUGGAGACUGCCGAAAGCAGUGGUUCUCAACCAUCUUAGACUCACGGCACCCUUGGAUAGACUUGCGGCACCCUUCAGAAAAUGCCAGCUCUNCCUGCAGGUUCUACCUGCUCCUUCAAAGACUUUAUUCCCCCUACCCUCCUCCCACUGCCCCCAGCAGCCUACAUAUAUAAGCCUACCAUGAGAUAGCUCCAGUUGUCAGCCUCUCAUACCUGCUUCCUGACCAGGGCAGGAUUAGACCCUGUUUGGCUAAAAAAAAGUUUAGAGCCAAUUUUUCAGAACCAACCAGUGGGUUUUUGGGGGGUGGGUUUUGCCUGUUUUGGUUUUUUGGGGGGGAGGUGGGGGGGAAGGGAAGCAGGGAAUGGCAGCUGAAGACAUCAGGAAGAGUUUUCAGAAAGGGCUGAGCACACCCCUCUGAGAGCCAUGCACCGUUAACAGGUCUCCAGAAGGGCACCUAAGAAAUGAUGCACUCAAACUCUCUGGUUGCUUGCAAUAGGCCACAAGACCAUCUUGCGUUCUUGCAGUGGGGAACUCACAUGACGGAGUGAUGUGCGCUGUAAGAGCACGGAUAGACAGACAGACAGAUCAACAGCCAGAAAACCCAGUCAGGAAAUAUCCAGCUUCUGGUACCUACAACAACAGAUCAACCAUGAUCUUGCAUUGAAAUCAGAUUGCAUUGGUCCAGAUUUCUACCUCCGUAGACCAUCCGUUUGUUUCUUUUUUUAUUAGCAAUAAGUGUAAACAUAACUUACAUAUGUUUUUUUACAUUUAUUAUCCUUGGUUAAAAAAAUUAUGACAAGAGGGAUGUAAGAAAAACAAAAAACUUUGUGGAAACUGAACAUCCCAACCGUCCCAACUUGCCUUUGAAUUCCAGAUCUCUCAGGUGGGAUUUUGCAGGCAAGAUCUAACACAUCACCUUGCUUCACUGCUCAGGAAAGGAGAGUUUGCUAGCACUCAGAGGAACAGAUUAGGGCUGUAUUGUUUGACCGGGGACUAUUUUCUGUGAGGGUGGGUAAAGAGGCAAACAGCAUGGCUGU